UUUUCUUCAAAGAGGGAUUGUAUUUGUAGCUCUCUCUCUAUAAAUAUGCAUACUUGUCUGUUUGAAGAAGUAAUGGAGGCCAUGAAGAUGAAGAUGCUGGCAACUGCCUUGAUGGUCAUCAUGCUGAUAGCACUCUCCUCCAUCAAUGGUAUCUCCGCCGCCGAUCCUCCGGCUCCCGCCCCCACCUCUGACGCCACCCCCGCCACCUUCAUUCCCACCUUCUUCGCCUCCGUAGCAGCCCUCGUUUUUUGUUUGGUGUAAUGUAACUCUUAAGUUUGUUUGUUUGUUCGUUCAUUUGUGAGUUUAUUUUGUAUGUAAAAUUAUGAUCAGAUUAUAUUAUUGAUUAAUGAGAGAUAUUAAUUCAUUUGAGUACCUCUUAAAUAUCUAUUUUUAGUAAGAAAUACAAUAAACGGAAAAUACC
rnacentral:lncRNA from 1 species